UAGGGAAUUUUGCGCAAUGGACGAAAGUCUGACGCAGCAACGCCGCGUGAGUGAUGAAGGUCUUCGGAUUGUAAAGCUCUGUUGGUUGGAAAGAAAAGUCAUCAAAAUAAUACGUUGAUGAUAUGACGGUACCAGCUGAGGAAGCCCCGGCUAACUACGUGCCAGCAGCCGCGGUAAUACGUAGGGGGCAAGCGUUGUUCGGAAUCACUGGGCGUAAAGGGAGCGUAGGCGGGUAUGUAAGUUAGGAGUUUAAUGCACGGGCUUAACCCGUGACCUGCUCUUAAUACUGCGUAUCUUGAAUAUGGAAGAGGGAGAUGGAAUUCUUGGUGUAGCGGUGGAAUGCGUAGAUAUCAAGAAGAACACCAUUAGCGAAGGCGGUCUCCUGGUCCAAUAUUGACGCUGAGGCUCGAAAGUUAGGGGAGCAAACAGG
rnacentral:rRNA from 1 species